rnacentral:pre_miRNA from 1 species
AGCAACAGGUGGUAUUGGGACGGUUCAAACUGAUCAUAGCUUUCAAUCAGUAAGUCUUGACUCUGUGAUCUGAUUGAGCCGCGCCAAUAUCGCCUGCCUCUUA